rnacentral:rRNA from 1 species
UACGUAGGGGGCAAGCGUUGUCCGGAAUCAUUGGGCGUAAAGAGCGUGUAGGCGGCCCGGUAAGUCUGUUGUGAAAGUCCAGGGCUCAACCCUGGAAAGCCGAUGGAUACUGCCGGGCUAGAGUUCGGAAGAGGCGAGUGGAAUUCCUGGUGUAGCGGUGGAAUGCGCAGAUAUCAGGAGGAACACCUAUAGCGAAGGCAGCUCGCUGGGACGACACUGACGCUGAGACGCGAAAGCGUGGGGAGCAAACGGG